GCCAGUCUAAAAUCUCUGCCUGGAUUGCCUACUCCAACCUGGCUGGAAAUUUCAGGUGCCGUUGAAACCACCCAGUUGUUUGCCCCAGUGAAUACAGGGCAUGCUCCUGGGACUACUGCAAAGAGCAAAACAGGGCAACACUGUGGGCACACAGAGAAAGAAAAAUCCUGGAAAAAAUUAUGGCAAUGACCAAAUCUUCUGGGACCCAUUAAAAGGGCUGGAUCUCAUACAGUAUGUGGUGGUUGCAGAGCUGCAUGGCUUCGUCCAUCACAUGAAUGUUCUCCUAACCAACAGGGCUUCCACAACACCACGCCACCAACUCCCAAAUGGUGGGAAUAUUCCCCAUAAGAAAAUUCCUGUGUCUCUAGGAUUAUCCCCACUCUCUGUCCACCACUGAUACUCCAGGAGUCCACAACUCGACAGGCUGGGAGCUGCUCUUUGAAUCUUCAAACCAAAGGAAAGACUAAGUUUGUGUGUUGUUUAGGACAAUGGUUUUACUGGGUUUUUGAGGUGGUGUGAGCAAAUGUAUUACACUGGGAACAUCUGCUGUGAAGACAGCACACCGUAAUCUCCAACUUCGCCAACAGUUGGACAGUUAAUCUCCCUCACAUUAAUUGCUUCCAGGUUUCUAAUAGAUUUUAAGAUUUUUUUUGUUGUUGUUGUUUCCUUAUUUAUAAGAUAUUGCUGGAAACAACAACCACAUUUGUAAGUAUCUGUCUCAAAACCAAUUUAUUUCCCAGUAAUGUCACCUGGGAGCAGAGUAAAGCAACGGCCACCCGCUUACCAGGCCCUCACCUGCUCACAGGUAGUUUAUCCUCUGCAAAACAGUGCCUUGAAAACAGUUCUUCUCUCCAGGCACAUGGAAUGAACCUGAAUUCUGUGUGCCGCGGCUCGCUGCAGACCUGGGAAGGCAGGCAGACAACGCAAGGAAACAGGAGCUGGUUUUGUUAUUGAAAUCUGCACGAUGAGGCAGGCAGAGAAAUAGGGACAAAGCAGCUUCAGUUCCCCAGGUUUCUAACUUUGGAGAGCUCGUCUUUGCAAUAUAGCUUUUUAAUGUCAUCCUUGGCAAAAAUGUCCUUCCUUUUAUUUCCCUCCUCCCAGAAAGCACAAACCUGCCCUGCAGCACCAUACGCAGGGCCGCCCGGUCUUGCACUGGGAAAUACCAAACCCCUUAUUUGUAAGGAACGCUGCCAGCCCUGGCUACGGUUAAACCCCCAUAAAACUGAAGGAACUCUCUCGCCAGAUUCAUCCGGGUGUUGAAAGAGAGAAGCCUGUGGUUGCCACUUCCCAGUUUCCCUUGGCACAAGGAUUUUCCAAUCAGCCAGGACAUCCCAAAGACGAGAAACGGUGCCGGACCACCUGCGUGCUGGCUGCGCUCGGCAGCCGGCCAGUCCCUCCAAGCAUUUCCAAACUCAGCAGAGCAGCCCCGAGGUUACACAAAGUCUUUUUGCUCCCACCUCAGUGACCUCAGGGCUACAAAUGCUGCCGUGGGACCUUCUUCUGCACUGGAAUGAGCUCCUUGUUCACAGGAAAACCGCGCUCCAACACAGCCCCUCCUCGGCUAUCGAACGCAACAAUCACCUACUGACCAGCUAUGAGUUACCCUGCGAGGGGAAAAGGCCUCCCUUAAACCCACUGCUUUGUCCUUUUACCACUUGUGUAUGCAACUGCUUAAUACAUAGUGAAUAAUUUAAACAAUCCACAUGCCAUAACAUGCCCCCAAAUGUUUAACUGAGUGUCCCCAAAUUUGUUUUGCGUGUUUAUCCUUCCAUUCGUUAGGAACGUAAAUGUUCUUUGACUUCGCCCUGUGCCUUUCAGCAUUAUUUUAUGGAAAUUCCAAUUUCCUGCCCUGAAAGAAACCCUGAUGAUAAUGAGAGGCUUGAAGCUUUUCAAACCAAAAAAAAAGCAGUUCGAGUCAAUUCUGCAUUUUGUUCUUAAUCAAAACUAGUUGUGUGCAUUUGCAUCAACAGUGAGCUCAGCACACAAUGCUCCAUAUGGGCUUGGCUGCCGGCAUUCACCGAAUGGCAGGAGCCACUGAAAAAGCUCUCUGGUUUUCAAAGGUUUAGGGAUGACCUUGCAAAAGUGUCAUUUGUCACUGCCUUGUCCAGAAGCACUAGAAAAAUCCCUGGAAACGUGCUAUGGAAUCACAGAGCCCAACUCUUGCAUUGCCAAAGCAGCGCAGCAGCACUUGCCUACAGAGAGACAAUGGGAAAUAAGAAACUGGAAGCUUUUAAUGGAGCCCCAGAAGAUUUUUUUCUUGAUGUUUUAUCUGGAUAUUGGUCUUCCACUUCAGACGUUACUCGUUUUUCAGGCACGCUAUUUCAACUCGCUUUAUACCGAGUCUACCAUAAAUAUGAAUGCAAACAAGCUACGGUCCAUUAAUCUGGACACCUAUUUGCAAUUCUAAAGUGUCUGAAACACUUGGAAACAGCCUACAAACUUUUACUGUUCCCCUGUUCGGACCUGAUCUUGCAGAACCCCCUUCACGCUAAUUCCAGUCAAGUUACACCCAGGAGGGGGUAUCCCUGUACGUGCAGUUUUAGGAGCAGGUCCCCGUUUUUGAGCACAUUAAUAGCACCCAGAAGGGCCGCGGCACACAGACUUCGCAGGUCUGUUCUGCAGAGCAUGAACAAUUAGGAGAAAUAGGGACGACGAGUCUCACAGGCAUCCCUGGACGCGCUGUCAUGAGUGGCUGGACAAGUUGUGCUCAGAAAGGAUUUAUUUCCACUCAUUUUGGUCUUGUGGCUGUGAGAGGCUUGCAAAACCUUUCACCUUCUUUCCCUGGAGUCAUAUAUAUUUUAUGAGAAAUUUAAGAAUUACCUCUUAUUAAAAUGGGGAUAGUGUAAUUACCAAUAAAAAGCAGAUGUUAUGGCAUGACUAAUGCUUGAAAACGUGUAUGUAGCAAGCACAACAUACCAGCACAUCCAGGCUUUUCAGUAGGAUAAUAAAAGUUGUCUUUGUUGAAACUAACUGGCCAAGUCGCAGGGUUCUGAAGUCACAGGGAAAUCCUUACGGAAAACGCUGAAAAGCUCCGCAAAAGGGCAGCUUUGCUCCCACCGUAACUCCAGAAGGUUGAAAUGAAAAAACCCACAUCCCUGUCCACCUUGUCCAGGUCAGGAGGUGUCUGAGAAGGUGUCCUGCUACAGCACCCGGACUCGCUGCGCUGAGAGCAUCCUUCCUCUACAAGCCGUAAUGAGCCAUAAUUAGUGAACUCCCUGACACCUCCGGCACCUCUCGGGGGUUCCAUAACCCACCUGCAACAGUCAAGAUCAUUCCCUUGGAUCAGUCCCAAGUAUUUUGGCAAGGCAUAUGUGGAGCACUCCGCGUAGGCUGACUUUUGAAACAGGAAUGCGCAAACAUCAUGUAAAUGGAGUUGUUCGGCAAAUCUGCUCAAGUCAGUCCCGGGGUUCACAAGCUUCAUCUGCGCUCGCAAAUUCCUCUCCCUUCCUUCCUGGCAAAUUGCAUUUAUUGCUUUUCCCCACAAAAGCAUCUUUAAAGCAACACUGGGCUUGCAAAAGAGCAUUCGCAGCUUGGAAAGAGGGUCUGGUCUCCUGGGUGUGGGUCUGAAUUUGGGGGCAUAAGGAGAAUCCGCACCUCGGCCAGGGAAGGCUGUGGGGGCAGCAGGAGCUGGAGGUGGGGGCUCAGGACCCAGGGGUGCAGGGAGGGCUGGGACAUCUCAGCAGCCGUGGGCUCCUACUCACCUCUGCCUUCUCCUGUCUUCAGAUCCCAGGUCUUUGACUCCUUCUCCGGUCCAAACCUCAUGCCUUGCCCAAAGCCCGGUGAUUCGGGGUGCGCUGGAGGCUGUGGAGACCUCCCCGUCUUUUCCUUAAGACCCACCCACACUCAAUCAUUAUUUCCUGCACAUAAAAAAAAUCACUAUUUCUUUGCACAUAAAGAUGAGGGGUAAUGGCUUCAAACUGGAAGAGGGGAGAUUUAGAUGAGAUACUAGGAAGAAUUCUUUGCUGUGAGGGUGGUGAGCCCCUGGCCCAGGUUGCCCAGAGAAGCUGUGGCUGCCCCAUCCCUGGAGGUGGUCAAGGCCAGGUUGGACGGGGCUUGGAGCAACCUGGUGUGGUGGGAGGUGUCCCUGCCCAGGGCGGGGGGUGGCACUGGAUGGCCUUUAAGGUCCCUUCCAACUCUAACCAUUCUGUGAUUCUAUAUUUCAAUUAAAUUUAAAAAAAAAAGUAUCCAAAUCCUCAGACUCUUCUUGGCCCUGCAGGAGUGUCAGUUCACUGGAGAAACCUCCUGCAUUGUGCCUGUUGCAGACUGGAAGGGGGUUUUUUUCAGGUUGGUUUGUACCCGCAUUAGCUCUGUCAUUUUGUGAAAUGAAACUAAGACAUAUGCAUAAGCAGCCUUGACAGCAAUUAGUUCUGGCAGAAUCUUCGUGGUAAUGAAUUUCAAUGAAGCUGGGGUUUUGGGUGCCUGAACACUUCAUUAGCUGCCGGUAUAUCAUACUGAUGCAGUUGAGAAAUCACAUUAUAAUAAACCACUUUUUACUGCAGGCAGCAACCCGGAUAAUAAAGGGGAUGAAUAAUAAUAAUAUAGUCCAUUCAAAACCAUUCCUGUGCUUUAGAGCUCUGGAAUUUCAGUAAAUACAUCAAAUAGUAUGCGGGAAUGAAUCUUAUUCUGAAUUUCUCUGUUACCCGGGUACUUAUGAGCAUUUUUAAUAUAUUGUCAGAGGAGCUGCUCCACUCUAUUACACUUGCCAGUUAAACACUGAAAUACAUACGUGUUGAUGCAGUAACAAGAAAAACCAUCUGUCAUUUAGCAAAAAAUAUUUUAAACCUGAAUGGAGGAAAAUAGAUGGUAACUAUUUUGAUGUGAAAUAUCAGGAAGUCCUUGUCUGUUUCUAUAUGUUUACAGGAUAUAUUCGUUUUUAAAGUAUGGAAAUACAUGGCUUUGAAAAUGCCUUAAAAGGCACAACUGAGGCAUUCCUGUGCUUUCUUCUAUGUUUGUAAAUCAGAGAGAGAUGCAUUAUUCUGUCACGGUAAAAUGAAAUUUAUACUUAUCACUGGCUUUGCAGCGAUUAGUAUGAAAAUGAAAAACUGCAUUUAUUUGAUGCUAUUUCUGUUGAAAUUUAUCCUUUUGAAUGUGUCACUUGGGCUGCUGGUUGUUUGGUUGGGCGUCCAACAAACAAGCUCUCCUGCACCAGUGAAGAACAAGGUGGAGGGGCCCGGCCCCUCCGGGCUUUGCUGAAACACCCCAACCAGGACCAACCCCCCAGCUGGGACCAGUUGGUUUGUUAGGGCUUAUCUCAGUAGUUCAUUGUCCCACUGACAGGGAUAAAAGCAACUGAUGCUUCUUUAGGAGGAAGCCAGGCCACCUGUGAGCAUCCCAGUAAAACCAGGCUGUCCAACAAGAUGGUACUGGGAAAGAGGAAGGGGAAAGCUCAGGGAGCCGGGGGAAGGGGGAGUGGGAUGGGAUAUCCCCCCCGUUUGUGACGCUGCCUUGGAACCCUGUCACCAAGGCAGCCAGGCAGACGUGGGAUGAUGCUCUCCCCACUGGGUUUCCCUGUUUGGAGGCUUCCUGAGUCCGUGGUAACUAUAAAAAUACCGUUUCUCUCACCCCUGUGAACACAUAGCUUGCAGUUAUGUUACCCAAGUGUAUAGAUGUGGGCCCAUUUGAAUGCGAUAUUUGUAAGAUAUCCUUAAAAUGCAAAAAGCCUUAGAGACAGAUCUCUUGAUAAGAAAGAAGCAGAAGAAAGUAAAUGUGGAUGGGGAAUUAACGGCACCAGAGCAGCAAACAGCUAAGGGUAGACAAUUUUUCUAGUAGCAAACUAUUUCUGUGUGUUUAUCUAUAACAGUAAGAUGACCUCUUACCUCUUUUUUUUUUUUUUUUUUACAAUUAAAUAGUGUCUCACAAUAGUGGUUUAAAUAGGCUUCUCAAACAAAGAAAGAUAAAACUGGAGUUGAAUUGUAACAUCAAAUCCAAGCUCUUUCAAAGCCUUGAAUUGCAUAUGCCAGUUUUGGUUGCAUUGAAAAUUCAAAAGGAAAUAUCUGGAGGAGAAGAGGGUUGUACAGGGUUUGGGGUUUUUUUUUUCAGGCUCUACCCAAAUUUUAAUGUUCUUUCAUUUCCAGAAUGCUCACAAGCACUGCUGAUCUACCGAGAUUUUUCAGGAGACCAUAAAUCAUCCUAAAUAGCCCAAGCCUGUGGGAGUCCCAUUUUGUUGGCUCGGAGUCUGCCAAGGCAGCUCAUGAAAUCAGAUGUAAAUUUAAUCUCAAACCAGGUACAAACAUUGUCUCUGUGGGCCAUGGUUUUGUACAGUGCCAAACAGUAGUCUGUAAAAAAUCAGGUAGCAGGGGAUGGAGACUGGGGUUUUAUUUCUGAAGCCUGGUUGUUGCUGCUCUUCAUCAAGAUAGGGAAAACAGGAAAUUUCAUAUUUUUCCUGUGUGAACUACUAAAGGCUGCUUGAGAGUAUAGGAGCUAAGAUGGUAUUUAAAUUUAAUUGAAAACCCUAUAUGAGAAACCAUUUCAAGACUCAAAAACAAAGACAUGAAAGAUAAAUCAGCCAAACCCUUACAAUCCUCAGUCUUCCGGUUGACCUCAUUAUCUCUUUGUAGCGGCCGAUGUGGCAUGCCCUGGGUUGACAGCAGAACUGAUUAACAUUGGUGAUUGGUUUUGCUAAUGACUCUUGCCCAUUGAUAGCAUAAUAUUGUUGUAUUUGAUCAAAUACAAAUUUAUUUCAGGAGCUUCCAGGAGAUCUGGAGACAAGGGAUGAAACCACUCCCCCACCAUCCAGGCCAGGAGUCUUGGAGCACGUCCCGCUGACCAGGGACAGUUCUGAAGACUUGAAUACGAAAAUAUCGCAUUGCAAUGACCAUUCAGUCCGAGAACACCUGGCGUUUACUCUUGAGUACCUGCCCUACUAUAGAACCUCUUACAUCUUUAUCAGCCCAUCUUCCCUUGCCGCAUCGCACAUCAGCACAGAAACGGCAGAAAGCUUCAAUGAUGGCGAGGUUAACACUAAGCAUGAUGAGAAAGUGAGUUAUUCAGCUGCUUCCACAGGAUAUUUUCCAUGUUACAGAACAUCUGAAGAGCUUCUUGGCCAGCCACUCGCAUAUGGAUUAAAUACAGAGGAAAAAAACCCUGAUAACGAUGGGAAAGAUGAAAGCGAAGGCGGAUGUGCAGAGGAUGUUGGAGAUGCUGAGAAAACCAUCCCACCAAGUUUGGAGUUGGACAAGAGGGCACUUUCCUCUAUGGCUGAUGAAGAGCCACCAGCCCACCAACUCCUAGGAGACAGCACCUCUGAACACUGCCCAUCAACCAUCCCCUUCCCCAGCGGGCUGCCAGGUCUGAAUCAGACCUUUCCCUCCAGCAGGUACUUUCCUUACUACAGGACAGAGGGAGAGCUCUGUCCUGACCCAGCUCUGGGUGACGGGUUCCUCACAGGGACAGGAGGUUUGGAGAACAAAGAGGGACAACAAGGGGGAGAAAUGGGUAUUUGGAAUCUUUGUGCCAGCUGCGUGGUGUGCUGAGAACAAAGCCGGAGGGGUUGUCUUCGUCAGCAAAAGAUUGAGUCAACACAGGCAAGAAUGAGAAGCUCUUGAAACCUACAACAAUGUGAAAAUCCGCAUGAAUAUGGAGUAGAAAUACUCCUGCCCUCAAACAAAACAAGUGAUAACGUGGCCCGUGUAAUGACAGCAGAAAGCAGCAGCGAGGGAAAUGACUGAUUUGGGGGAUCCAGAUAAACUUGCCCUAGAAAAUAUCCCAAAGGAAGAGGGCGAGGAAGAGAACUGUGUUUUUCUGUGGCUAAUCCCAAAGGCUAGAUGGUCACUUGAGGGAUGUGCAGCUAUAGGAAAUGGCCAACGGGAAAAAAAAAUAAGAAUUAUUUAAAUCUAAGCUGCUUGGAGGAAUUAAGCAGAGACCUAAUUUCCAGUAGGGAUUGGGAAAUACAUUUCCUCUCUCCUCCACUACAAUCCUUCCAUUGUAUUAAUGGCAUCUGUUAGACCUGGUUACUGUGCACAAGUCAUACACAGGAGAAAAAAAAGCAUUUUUAUUUAAAUUCUUUGUCAAUAUAAUUUUUUGAACACAUUUCCAUUAUGUCUGUCUUCAUUUCACUUGCACAGUCAGUAAUGAAAAUAUUCCUGAUGACUUUAAUAUGUGCAACUACGAGCUGCUAUAAAACAUCAGUUUUGACUCUGGGAAACUGGGCAACAGCAUCCAGGAACAACUUGGCUUUGGUGAAUCUUGACCGAUUUACACAAGAUGAGGAUCUGACCAAAAAAAGGUCAGGGCGGUGUUUCCUUUGCAGUUGUGAAAUCUUGCAACACACUCUCCUUACUGCCAGCUAUGUCACCUCUUUGAGACGCCACACAAGUUGAUGAAGCUCUUUCCCGACCCUGCUAUGUGCGUAGACACUUGCUGCUCAAAAUAGAGGUGUUUACUCCAACCAUUUGGUCAGUCUUUGACUGCUUCUGUAAUGAUGACACAUUGGUAUUGACAACCUGCAGCUGAACGUACCGGUGUUACCUAGUUUCUCUAAGGGAUUGAAGAUGCAAAAUGCAUCAUGUUUAGCUACAUCUCCAUAGUUAGACAAGUUUUCCUUGUGGAUGACACUAAGGCCAGGAAGGCGACAGCCUUGUAAGGUACGUGAGGAUUUGGAUAAUAACUUCUACCCACGCUGCACUUAAGUGUUUUUGACAGGCAGGGAAGGGUUUUUGGCUGGAUGCUGGGACCCAGCAGAGGACAGGAGCUUCAACCCUGGUCUUUCUGGACUGCUCAGGAUGAGGUGAUGCACCACCUGAAGCCUGUGUCCCCCUGCGGGUGAGAGCUUGGUACUGUUCCAGGAAACCUGGGCUUGGUCAAACUGCUGAAAUUUCAUCCCGAUAUCCAUGCACAGCUGUCCUGGCUGGAAACAUGAAGGCAACCAGAGCAACUGGCGUUGCCUUCCCUGCCCCACAUCCCUGCACCCCCGUGGUCACCUCAGUAUCAUUCUGACACCUCCUCCCUCAAAAAUAAGAUGAAUCAGAUUCCGGUUGAACCGAGCCAGGCUGUAUGAAAUAGUUUCUGGUUUUAAGUGUGAAGAAGGCCUACGCCUUGGGUAUGUUGAAAGCAAGCCAUGGAAAAUAUAGCGGGAUUAUCUAAACUCAAGAGAUGGGGCAGAGGAGGGAGGGAAAUCUGUCUGAAAAUUGGGUGUGAUUUAUUCUGAGAAUAUUAAAUUCAGCAUUUCCACAAAAUUGGCAUAUUAAAAUAGUUUAAACUAUGUAAUAUCAAAUCUACAAAUCUGCCUGACUUCCACUAGAUAGAAAUUAGCUGCUUUCUAUUGGCUGUACUUGAUAAUUUAUGGGAACAAUGAACAUCAGAAAUCAAGGAUUUGGGAGAUGAGAAUAUUACAAGCUUUACCCUUCUGGAUCAGAAAAGCCUAAUUUUAAUCAAAAGCCAGCAAAUAUCAUAUGUUGCCAUCUGGAAACUGGAGCUGAACAAAUCUCUGGAUUUUAAUAUAUUUUCCAUACAGUCUCGCUUAGAGGUAGAAAGGAAGGGAUGGAGGGCAGAGUUGGAAGCUUCUGUGUUUCUCUCAAAGGCUUAUGCUGCUUUAUUACUUUUCCACAUAGUUAACAUCCUGUACACAGAGAGCAAAUGAUUUUCCUCAAACUGCCCCACGGAUCAGAUUGCUACCUCAGAGAGGACAUCGUGUACCUUUGCCCCAAGAGAGGUCCUAGUCAGCUGGAAAUAACAAACAGUUCAGUUCAGCCUCGUGUACUGAUAACAUAUUUCCUUUCAUCUCUCUAUUUGAAAAAUUCAUAACUAUUGCUCUAAACCCUCAGUACUUCAAUAUUAGUGGUUCUCUGGAGUUGGAAAAACAAUCCGCAAUUACUUUGAUGCAUGCUGUGUAGUCUUCAUUGAUCCCAUUUAAGCUUUUAAUCUCAUGAAUUCACAAACUUAAUUCAUAAACCAAACCAAACAAACUGUGGCAAAAUAUGCCCUUUAAUAACAAAAGUGGUCAUGACCAUCACUGUCUUUGGGGAUUUCUUAUAACGCGGGUUCUUCUUUCUCAAGAGCUGAUGUUAGAUUUCAUUUGGAAAGGGGGAAAAAGACUUAGUCACAAUAUUUGUUAAUCUGCGUACCCCUAGGGAAAAACCUCCUUCAGAGUCGAUAAAAAGGUUCACACAGACUUUGCAGGGCAUGGAAUUUGUCUCUGAAAUUAGGUACGAGAGGCUUUCUUUAGUAAAGUACUCCAAGCCUUAAGACCUAGACCCAAAGCAUCCUAAAAUCAGUAGGAAACCUCCCUCAGCCUCAGCGAGGUGGGGCUUGGGCCUCCAGUCUCCCCCUGUGGCGUAGAGCAGCAAGCCGAAAUGGUCCCUUUGUAAACCCACCAAACGCUGCUUUAGGGAGAAAAUUAGCUCGGCAACGCUCAACUGUAUCCGUGUGCAGCCUGCCGCAGGGACCGUGAUUAGCUAAGCUCUCCUUCCUCUCCCAAAUCCUGAUUACGUCGACGUAUGUGACUUAAUAACUUUACUUUGAACUCUGUUAGAAACGAAGCUUUUGGCAAGUAGCACUUAUCAUAGAGGAGCAGAACCCGGCAUUAAACAAAGAAGCUUAAAUAGGUCCCUUCCCCACAACGUGAUCGGGAGGAAUGGAAGCAAUUCAUUAAUACGAAACAACCUGGCUUCCAUUCAGAACCAUAUUUGCGGUGAGCGAUGAGAGAAUACCUUGAAUGCAGACCUCCUGUGCCAAAAGCAGCACACGCACAUCGGUGGGGGAACCAUACAGCCCUCCUGCUGAUGCACCAACCCAGGCUUCUUUGUUUUGCCAAUGCAAUUUAGGAACCACAUCAGACAUUGGGAACUGUGUUUUGCUGAACAGGAAUAGGUUGGCGGUCGUGCCUGAGGGCACUAAUCAUCAGCAGGAAUAAAUGGAAACACAAAGGAAUGAAGAAGCGAGGGAUGCAAGCUCCAGUGGUCCACAUGGAAGCUGGGGCAUCAGGAGGGGAAGCAGCUGCGCUCCCCGUCACACCUGGACCCUCAAAUAGAUUUGAUUAGUCUAUCAUAGAAUGUGUUGGGUUGGAAGGGACCUCUAAAGGCCAUCUAGUCCAACCCCCCUGCAGUGAGCAGGGACAUCUUCAACUAGAUCAGGUUGCUCAGAGCCUCAUCAAGCCUGGCCUGGAAUGUCUCCAGGGAUGGAGCCUCCACCACCUCUCUGGGCAACCUGGGCCAGUGUCUCACCACCCUCAUUGUAAAGAACUUCUUCCUAAUGUCUAAUCUAAACCUACCCCGCUCUAGUUUAAAACCACUGCCCCUUGUCCUAGUGCUGUGUGCCCUUGCAGACAGCCCCUCCCUAGCUUUCUUCUAGGCCCCCUUCAGGUACUGGAAGGACAUCUAUCCUGACAUCUAUAUCCAUACCUAUAUCAAUCUAGAGCUGUAUCUUCAUUCUCACCAAAACAAACGUGUGCGUAAUCCAGGUGAGGACUCUGCCCAGAGCAAUUGUUCUCCAAAACACAAAGAGAAGAGCUGGGCUGGGGUGAAGGUGAAGGCUGGACCUGUCUGUUGUCCUUUCUCGGUUAAUGAUACAGGUGGGAACAGAUGACAAAAGAGCAAACAGUCCACUGACCUACCUAAUCCCCCAUAAAUCUAUCCGUCCCUGCCCCACUGCUACCAGUUCUCAUUAACCCCCUCCAGGCUCCCAGGCUGCUGGGGGCACUUUCACCUUUCCCAGGAACACAAGCUGAUGGGAUUUGCAGGUGGGGGUAAGGCAGAAAUGCCAGCACCUGAUCCAAGUUAUGCAGUCUUUAUUUUGACUUCUGCAGCAAUCAUUAGUCUCACAUGUGGAAAAAGCUCAUGUGCUGUGUAUUUUAGUUAGCAGUCUUUUAUCGAAGCUGGUGUCCUUGGGCUAGUUUCUGCUACUGGUAAAUGUAAAUGGAGAAAUGAAUUCCCCAGGACAGCCUUACGGCAGGAUCACCUGGGCUGUGGGGCUCCUCCAAGCGAAUGAAUGAAGCGUAUACAUUGUGCAGGGGAACGAAUGACUGUCCUUCUGCUUUCCUGAGCACCUCCCUCCUGUGCAUGGGGUUGUCACGCCUCAGUUAUUGCACGGGGCACAGCAACCUGCACGGCGAUCGCCUGCGGGCCGGGGUGAAACUGGGGCACCUUCCCCUGUUAUUAGCUGAGGAAAAAAAAAUCAUGCCAAAGACUAGAGGUGGCACAAAACUCUGCAAUUGCUUCUGUUGCAAUUGCGCCAAGGAGCAAGCACGCUCCGUGAUGGCUAGUACGGAACAAAAUUAUCAGAAUGCUAAAAAGGAAACUCUUGCUGAAGCAAGAUUUGAAGGCGACUGGCAAUAUGUGCAAUGCAAAGGGAUUGUGGCGGGGAGCGAGGAGUUAAGCUCGCCUGGCUGGAUGGAGGGCUGUGAAAACAGACACCAACCUGGCAGGGAAGGGAGGAUCAGCCCGGAGGAUGCAACCUCUCAUUCCCACUCUUCGAUGGCUGAGACAUCAAAAACCCCAACACAAUAUAAAGCCGAACAAUAGGGGUCUGACAGCUGCAGAGUGUUUGAACAACACGUCAGAUGGGAAAGUUUGUGAAAUCUCUAUCCCGCCGGAGCAGGGGAGCUGCGGCUUUUCCUGGUUUCUCUGACUGUCUUUUCCCUGGACAGUGGAGUCGCCGUCAGCGUGUGGGGUGAGCAGAGGGAAUCACCCCGGCAAUGCGGGGACAGCAGCUGAAGUGACACUUGCUUAGACCAGAGGUUGCGCGCCAGGUCCUCCCCUGUCCCACCACAUCCUCCCGGGGACCUGGCGCCCACCCGCACCCACCGAGCCUUGGAUUUGCUCCCAAAAUAGGUCUCAUCUUGCAGCAAUGUGCUUAUUGCUCCCUUUGAAGACCUCGUUUUCUUACGGCAUCCUCACGAAUACGUGGGCUAGGUCAAGGUGAUGGCGUCUCCCUCCAAGCAGCUGCCCCGUUAGCACCUGAUGCUGGAUAAUAAUAAUGAUUAAUGAAUCUUAAUCUUCCUGUCACAAUUCCCUUUCAUUAAUAUUUAUAUCUGGCAGAUGUACCCCCAAGGGGGAACUUGAAUUGCUAAGUAUUAGUCUGCAAUGUACAGCUGGUAUUUUCUGCAGCAACUUUGAGGACAUUCUUCUAAACAGCACAUUAUGUGCAAUUUUAUUUUCAACUCAUUGUUAAUGCUGUCAUGUGUCAGCCUAGAGAAUAAUGUUUAUUUUAGGCCCCCUCAUCUGAUGAAGUAAAAAAACCCCUUAAAUACCAACAUUUUGAGGAAAAAGGAUCUGAUGUAAAGGAAUGAUUACGCGCUUAAACAACUGGCAUUAUCAUAGAGGUCAAGCCCGGCUAUGGAUACACCACUGAGCCUCCUAAUUACAACAGGGUGUAAUUUAAGGCAUCUUUAGCAGCCAGUGAUUUUAAAAGUGUGCCAUUUUCCAGUUAGAUGUAUGUGUUCAGCUGCUAAAAAAAAAGUCUGGUGCAGCACUUUUAGAAGAAUAAACAUUCAAUUAAAUGAUCUAGUUGAGUCCUUAUAAUUGGGCUGAAGUCUGUUUAUAACUAAUUCAUAAUGCAGCAUCAUUAGCCAAAUGAUUAAUUGGUAAUUACUCUAUGAAAACAAAUUAAUCACUGUGCUUCCCAAACUACGAUCCUCUCACUACACACUGUAGUGAACCAUUUGGCUCUGGUCUAUGCUUGUCUUGAUUUAUUUCUAGUUAUCCAUCUAAGUCCUAGCUAUUAAGUUUGCAGGAAUCUCCUCCCGGCUCUCAGCAACGCACUGUCAGCUGCAGCAAUAGGCAGCACGAAAAACAUUUUGCAUUUUUCGUAAAAUAUUUUAUUACCCUCCCCAGACAUGCCUGAACUAUGGAUGGAUGGAUAUGAUUUCUUUGAUUGAGCUCUCACUUGAAAAUAGGAACAUGAAUCUUGCGAUCACGUUCAUGUAUAGACUAAGGAAAUCAGCAGAUGAGGAUGGAAAAUAUGGUCAGCCUUUGUGCCUGAAGCAUUCCUCAGCCUGCAAAGACUUCAACCUUAGAGUCAGACUUUCCAAAAUAAGUUGUUA